CGCGGGUUAAAAAAAAUGACCUAUAAAUCCAGAAAGGGGAACGCUAAUACGUGCCAAAGAGCCCGGGUAUUUAGUUGGUGGCAAACUUUUCCCGAUUUAUUGGGGGGAAAGAGAGGGCCAGCGGUUUUUUUAAUUUGAAGUGGAAACCUUCGGCUUAACCGGAGAAGUGCAUCGGAAACUGGAUAACUUGAGUGCAGAAGAGGGUAGUGGAACUCCAAGUGUAGCGGUGGAAUUCGUAGAUAUAUGGAAGAACACCAGUGGGGAAGGCGGCUACCUGGUCUGCAACUGACGCUGAGACUCGAAAGCAUGGGUAGCGAACAGG
rnacentral:rRNA from 1 species